rfam:Triticum aestivum genome assembly, contig: Triticum_aestivum_CS42_TGACv1_scaffold_288273_4AL
UUUAUACUCCCUCCAUCCGGAAAUACUUGUCAUCAAAAUGAAUAAAAGGGGAUAUAUCUAGAUCCCUUUUUGUCCAUUUUGAUGACAAGUAUUUUCGGACGGAGGGAGUAUAUG